CAAGAUUCCAAUUCUGAGAACACCUGCAGACUGAGCAGAAAGUGACUCUCCUCACUCCCUACUGACAGCCCUGUUACCAGAACGAUGUCAAGAAACCAGCCUGAAGUUGACGGCAUAGAGGUGAACGGGCCCAAGAGCAGCACCGAUGUUGAGUGGUCGGAUGACCAUAAAAAAGUAAUGCAGACAUAUGAGGUUGGAAGUGUCUCUGCAACCGCCGGGCCGACGAAGGCCACAUUGGGUCUGGCAGCUACCACCGGCUUUGAAAUAGGCAAGGAAGGGGUCGGGGCACAAGUUUUGGGUACAGGCUUCUCUGUCGGGAGGACAACAUCUGUUUCUCUGUUUGGUAGCAAGUUGGAGUUCAAACUCUGGUGACACCACCACUCAGAGCCCAGAGGUCCACUGCUUUGGAGAUGUAUAAAUUCCACCUGUUUAGUUCUCUUAUAGUCUACAGACAAGGCUUCUGGGCCACAGAUGUGCUUGGCUUCUUUUACACUUAAUGAAAACAUCUUGAUGUAUUGUACUUAA